CUAGUGUCUCCGCAAGUCCAUCGUAAUCGUGCCAUCAAAAGUCCAGUAUGUAACCCAAUAAUCGUAUCGCCACCAGUCUAGUGUGCAAUUCAACGCAUAUGUUGUUGUUCCCACAAGCUACACAGUUAGCUCCAGCAAUAUGAUGGUUAGCAAGUUGCUAAAAUGACAUUACUGAGGAAUCUGUUAAAGCGUUAAUGCUGAGUUCUCAAUGUUCGUACAAGUUUGGUAUAGAAUUUAUAUCAUCAGAUGCAUUCACAUUUGGAUUGAUCUUAUUUUCUACUCUAUAAAUCCCAAGAGAAAU